rnacentral:lncRNA from 1 species
UAUUGCUACUACUGUUACUGUUACUCUGCUACUACUGGUACAGCUGCUACUACUUCUACAACUCCUACUGCUGCUACUGUUAAUACUGCAAAUAUUGCUACUACUACUACUGCUACUACCACUACUACUACUACUGUUGUAGCUACUAUUACUGCUAGCUACUAAUGCUAUUAGUGCAACUAUUACUAAUACUGCAACUACUGUUGCUGCUACUACUACUCCUCCUACUACUAUUUAUUCUUCUUUUUCUUGUUCUUCUUAUUCUUCUUGUUCUUUUC